UGGGGAAUUUUGGACAAUGGGGGAAACCCUGAUCCAGCCAUCCCGCGUGUGCGAUGAAGGCCUUCGGGUUGUAAAGCACUUUUGGCAGGAAAGAAACGUCAUGGGUUAAUACCCCGUGAAACUGACGGUACCUGCAGAAUAAGCACCGGCUAACUACGUGCCAGCAGCCGCGGUAAUACGUAGGGUGCAAGCGUUAAUCGGAAUUACUGGGCGUAAAGCGUGCGCAGGCGGUUCGGAAAGAAAGAUGUGAAAUCCCAGAGCUCAACUUUGGAACUGCAUUUUUAACUACCGGGCUAGAGUGUGUCAGAGGGAGGUGGAAUUCCGCGUGUAGCAGUGAAAAGCGUAGAUAUGCGGAGGAACACCGAUGGCGAAGGCAGCCUCCUGGGAUAACACUGACGCUCAUGCACGAAAGCGUGGGGAGCAAACAGG
rnacentral:rRNA from 1 species